UUCCCGCUAUAUUUUUAAAUCCUUAUAAUCGUGGUAGUGAAAAUAUGUACAUAAUAAUAAUAUACUACUACAAUUCGAAGGUUUGCAGUGAUUAGUCGAUUUACGUAAUUUGUUAAUUUAAAGAUCAUUGCCAAUUUUUAAAACUUAACAAAUUUGUUUUUGUUAUAAGUAUAACAUUGUCAUGAAAAAUAUUAAUAUGUCAUUAAUUAAUGUCGAUAAUGACAACAUUUGUAACCAAAAUAACAUGGUCAUGACACAAUUUAUAUUAUUUUUAGUUUUUAAUGCAAUAAUGAUGUAAAUAAUACUGAAUUAUAUUUACUAUUCAAACAUUUAAAAGGUGAUUGUUUCUACCAAGAAUUCACAGGUAAAAUUACUUAGUUCAUGCCCAUUUUAUUGAUGUUUUUUUUUUUUUUAUAUUAUAUGCUUUUAAGUAUUUAUCUUAAUUUGUAAAACAAAAUCACAACUGAAAGUUUACAAUUUAUGAAAAUAUAUCAUUUGGUUAAAUUGUGUCCCAAAACUAUGAUUGGUCAAAGAAUCAUUUUUGAACAUAAAUUAACCAAUUGGCAAACAAAUAAGUGUAGUGUAACUGUAAGUAGGUACUUAAUAGCAUCAUAACCAGACAUACCUCAUUCAAUGCUCGGCCUUUGAUAUAAAUCCUAUAUAAAUAGGAACUUUAUUAAUUAUAUAGAUGCAUACAAUGUAAUAUUUAGAAAUAGUUUUAUAACUGAUAAGCAUUAGGAAAUAAAUUGUUUUAAUUAACAUGCACACACGUUUACUUAUUUAAUUAAAAUAUUCAAAAAUAAUUGACAAUUAUUUACUAUAAUUGUUAUAGAUUAAAACAGAAAUAAAUCCGAAGAAAAUGAUCAUAAUGAGGAAGAAUUAGACAUAGAAGAAAAAGAAUAUUUGGGGGAAGAAGAUGACGGAUCAGAACUCUGUGGAGGUAAAUCUCCAACAGCGUCAUCGUUUGGUAAAUAUUAUGAAUUUGUUUACUUUAAAUUGGUUUUAUUUUUUUUGUUAUGUAAAGGUUUUAUAUAGAUUUUAAAAAAAGUGACGAAUUUUCAUAUGUAGACGAAAGUAUAACUACUAUGGACUAUAAUUAAUUGUUUUAUAGUUUGUACAAUUCAGUGCUACAUUUACUCAGUAACUCUUGUUUGAUAGAAAUGUUUUUCAAGAUGGCAUUUUUUUUUUCAAUAUAUGUUUGAUGUGGUGUAAAACCAAAGCUUUUUUAUACCAAAUGAUUAAGAUUGUUGAUUUCUUUUUAGAUUUAAAAUAUGAUAUUUUUAAUAAUUGUUUUGUGUACAUUUUAUUAAGUCUAUAAAACAUUUUUGACUAGAAUAAAUAUUAUAAACUUGAUUACCUAUUGAUUUAUGUUCAAAAAAAAAAAAAAGAAAGAUAUUUUAAGUGGUCAUAUUCGUCAAAUAAUGGCGAAUGCAUUUUUUUUAUCUACAUUUUUCUCAUUACACCAUUGGAUCGAAAUUAGUAUCAUAAACAUUUU